UUUAACAGUGGGGUCCCGACGUUGGGUCGACUCAAGAAUUUUCUUGGGUCGACUCAACGUUGGGUCGACCCUAUUCUGGGUUGGGUCGACCCAAGUUCAGAAAUUUUUCCUUUCUCUUCCUUUUCGCUUCUAAAAAUUUUCCUUGCUUCCAAUCUUUACAAAUUCUUUCUGGGACAAUGAUACAUGAGUAAGAAAUCUAUAG
rnacentral:lncRNA from 1 species